ACCAUACCAUUCCACCAACCCCUCUUUCUAUCUGCAGAUACCACUAUUUUGAUUGGUUAUACACAAUUGGGACAACAAGCUCUAAGUUUUCUUUUGGGCAUCUGCACCAUCACCGUUUAUCACUGCCGGAGCAAACUUCCACUUUGUGACUAAAAUAAGGGUGGGGAGGAGAGAGUAGAGAGGGAGGAAACGGUGGUUCUUUAACGGCGGUGUGGUGUGGCGGUGAUACUCGAAGUAGAACCCUAGCUUAACUGUAGCGUGCUUUUGUGGAGGAGGUGGUUGUAGCGGUAACGGAAGUAGUGGCCGUGGCGGUGAUGGCAUAGAUUUGGUCGGCUCAGAUGCGGUGGCUAUGGUGGAGAUGCGGUGUUCGCCGGUUUUCGUCACUGGAGACCGUCAACCGACUAAGGCCGCCGGAGAUGAAAAUCAAUUAACAAAUUCAACACUGAAGAGUUAAAACAAAUGCAGUUGGAUACUUAAACGUACUAGAUCUGACGCUGGAUCAAGCUGUGUGUGGUGACAAGUAGGAUAAAAGGAGGUGGUUGCAGGAAUUAGAUGAAGUUGAGAUAAAAGCAUUAAGAUCAAGAUCAAUAUGAAGCUCCGGUUGUGGUGGAGAUGACAUGGUAUUCGCCGGCAGUGAUGGUGAUCUCACGGUGGGGAAACGGUGGUGAUUUUUUUUCUCUUUUUCUUUGAUUUGAUAGAAUGCUGUCCGGCUAUCUCAUUGCUUUUGAAAAUCCUUCUUUUACAGUGGGCUGGUUUAAAAAAGUGGUUUCUGUAUUUAAAAGCAUUUUUAUUAGAGAUAAAUUUUAUAAGCUACACUAUUUCCUUAAACAUUGAUAUCUACAAGAUUUUAAUUUA